ACCUGGUCUUGACAUCCACAGAACUUGCCAGAGAUGGCUUGGUGCCUUCGGGAACUGUGAGACAGGUGCUGCAUGGCUGUCGUCAGCUCGUGUUGUGAAAUGUUGGGUUAAGUCCCGCAACGAGCGCAACCCUUAUCCUUUGUUGCCAGCGGUUAGGCCGGGAACUCAAAGGAGACUGCCAGUGAUAAACUGGAGGAAGGUGGGGAUGACGUCAAGUCAUCAUGGCCCUUACGACCAGGGCUACACACGUGCUACAAUGGCGCAUACAAAGAGAAGCGACCUCGCGAGAGCAAGCGGACCUCAUAAAGU
rnacentral:rRNA from 1 species